rfam:Rhodopirellula maiorica SM1 cSM11013, whole genome shotgun sequence.
CCCCGGACUGGCGUCCGGGGCUACUGCCUACCGUCGCGUUGCGACU